rnacentral:rRNA from 1 species
UACGUAGGGGGCAAGCGUUGUCCGGAAUUACUGGGCGUAAAGCGCCUGUAGGCGGGAACGUGCGUCGGACGUGAAAGGCGGGGCUUAACCCCCGAGCGGCGUUCGAAACGGCGUUCCUUGAGGGUCGAAGAGGAGCGUGGAAUUCCUGGUGUAGCGGUGAAAUGCGUAGAGAUCAGGAGGAACACCCAUGGCGAAGGCAGCGCUCUGGUCGGCAUCUGACGCUGAGAGGCGAAAGCGUGGGAGCGAACGGG